rnacentral:rRNA from 1 species
UACGAAGGGGGCUAGCGUUGCUCGGAAUUACUGGGCGUAAAGGGCUCGUAGGCGGCCAACUAAGUCAGACGUGAAAUCCCCAGGCUCAACCUGGGAACUGCGUCUGAUACUGGAUGGCUUGAAUUCGGGAGAGGGAUGCAGAAUUCCAGGUGUAGCGGUGAAAUGCGUAGAUAUCUGGAGGAAUACCGGUGGCGAAGGCGGCAUCCUGGACCGACAUUGACGCUGAUGAGCGAAAGCUAGGGGAGCAAACGGGG